rnacentral:rRNA from 1 species
ACACGUAGGGGGCAAGCGUUGUCCGGAAUUAUUGGGCGUAAAGGGCGUGUAGGCGGUUAAUUAAGUCAGGUGUGAAAGCCCGGGGCUUAACCCCGUGAUUGCACCUGAAACUGGUUAACUUGAGGGCAAGAGAGGAAAGCGGAAUUCCUAGUGUAGCGGUGAAAUGCGUAGAUAUUAGGAGGAACACCAGUGGCGAAGGCGGCUUUCUGGCUUGACCCUGACGCUGAGGCGCGAAAGCGUGGGGAGCAAACAGGAUUAGAUACCCUGGUAGUCCACGCCGUAAACGAUGGGUACUAGGUGUAGGAGGUAUCGACCCCUUCUGUGCCGCAGCAAACGCAUUAAGUACCCCGCCUGGGGAGUACGUUCGCGAGACUGAA